UCGUAGUUGGAUACGAAUAGGCCUUCGGGCCAUGCACCUCAGCAGGCUGGCGACGGCUCUGAGGGAGAAACCCCUGGGAGCUGGCUGGCGGAUUGUAAUGUCACCUCGCGCGGGGAUAGAUCCUCUGCAGACGACUGAAGUGACCAAGCGGGUCGUGUAAGCGGUCAAGUAGCCUUGUUGCUACGAGUCGCUGAGCGUCACCCGACCUUGGCUAGAUUU
rnacentral:rRNA from 1 species